rnacentral:lncRNA from 1 species
GUGUGUGUAAAUGAUUCGAUACAGACUGGUAUCGAGGGAAAUUCUGCCUCAAAAUGGCGGAGAGCGCCAAACGCCGUUAGGAUGUGUAGCAGCGGCUUUUGCGCUAAUUUAUUGCUGUUCUCUCAUUCAUUCAACAAGCAUAAAUUGAGCACCUUUUUCAAGCCUCUGGCUGUGUGCUGGGCCAGGAGACACAGGGACGAUUGAGCCUCCUCCCGCGCCAUGCCCCAGGGCAGAGCUGGUGGACUGUCCUUUCCUGCCUUCUGGGAGACAGGAGACCUGAGUCGGGCAUCCUCUGAAAAGGAAAAAAAGAAGAAGUGAAACCAGGGUGGGACAAAAUAUAACAACGUGCCCAUCAAGUCAAGAGCCAGCACACACAGGACCAACCCAAGAAAGAGCUGACCCAGCCUGGCCACCACCACCAGAUGCCGGAGAGGCCCAAGGCGAGGGGCACGGCAGGCUGGAGUUGGGUGCAGAGCCUGGCCCUUCCCUCGCUGAGCCUCAGUUUCCUCACCUGUACAAGGGGUGCGGAAGCGGAGGGGAGUGAGUUACCCCAACUAAGAAUAGCUGCUGCCCCCUGUGCCAGCCCCAACUCCUCACAGGCUGUUUCCAGCUCCACACCCUCCGGGUCCCUCUGAGAGCCCUGUCACCUGAGCUGAGGGGGCCCAGACCGCCAAGUCCGGAGCCUGCUGCAAGCCCGGGUCCUGCCAUCCCAGGCCAUCCCUGAGCCUACCUACCACUCUAGGACCACUGUCCCCUCCUACUGCCAUCUGGAGGCCCUGAGGUCUCACACCUCCAGGCCCAGACACUGCUUCCCUCUCUCCUGCCAGAGCUGGGCUGUCCUUCCCAAAUAGGGGUUGGGGGGGGUGGGGGGGCAAUGCGUCUGUUUCAACCGUCCCCACAUUCGGAACAAUGCUCCUCUGUCAGCCCAGACGGGCCCUCAAAGCGAACUCCCCCUCUGCCCACAUGGCCCUCGGGCUGCAUCUCUGGUCUGGGCCAAUGGGCAGCUGCCACCCUCGGACUGAAUAUUCCCACUGCUGCCCCCUCCCUCCUCGCCAAGAACAGCCCCCUGUCCCGCUGCAGCCAGAGCUGCAUUUCAGAGCCCACAGUUGCCCACUCACAAACUCCCUCUCUUUAAAACACUCCACACAAAGCCGCUUUUAUCUGGUUCAAAAACAGGCUUUAAAAGCUUUAAAAGUCUUUGCAGUGGUUUCCCAUGUUCUGGUCUCUUUCAGAUGAUAAUGGUUUUAAUUAUAACAAUCAUUAUAGCAUAAUACCUUCAAUUUAGGCAAUCAGCUCCAUUCAGAAUAUUCAAACGGUGGGGGGAAGGGUGACUGUGGCACCGAGGCUUUCUCUGUGCUCGGUUUCAGAGAGAAGCUCCCUGGGCCCAGCAGGUGCUGGCUGCCGCGGGGGACGAGAGGCCCGCUCCUCGGAGAGCUGUGGGAGAAGCUCUUGAGCGGAAGUGCCUGGGCCUCCCGGGAGCAGCCUAGACGGAACCCACAGGGCUUCCAGCACAGGAAACCCCAGGGCUCCCCAGCAGGAACUCUGCAGCCCUCAGAGACCUGCCCUGGCUCCCUAUCCCCGAAAGCAUGGUCCAGUUCUUUAGUCCUCUCCUAUCCGACUCCAGGUUUAUCUUGCACAAAAUCCUUGCACGCACCACCCGCACCUGGCCCAGCGCAUGUACUCUUCAUGCACAGGAGACACAGCUGCCCCCACCUAUCAGGCACCAACCCAGUGCCAGGCACCAUGCUGGCAAUGUCUAAAAGUCCUACAUCCUGGCUUACCCAUCAGUCCCAGGCAAACUGGGAUGGUUGGUCACCUGGCGUGCUAGGCUCUGGACAUAUAGCCAUGACCCAGACUUCCUCCCCGACCUGAGCAAGCCCUGGGUCUAGAGGGGAGACAGAGCUUACAAAUAUUGACAACGUGGAACAUACUAGUGUCCUAGCACUGCUGUAACAAAUUGCCUCAAACUGGGUAACUUGAAACAACAGAAAUUUAUUCUCUCAGAGUUGAGGAGGCCAGAAGGCCAAACUCCAGGUGUUGGCAGGCUUGGCUCCUUCUAGAGGUUCUGGGGGAGGGUCUGUUCCUGCUGGGUUGCCAGCACCCCUGGGCAUCCCUUGACCUUCAGACAUGUCACUCCAAUGUCUGCCUCCAUCGUCAUAUGGCCUUCUCUGUGAGUCUCUGGGUCUUCUCUCCAUGUAAGACACUAGUCUUUGGAUCUAGGGCCCGCCCUAACUCCAAGCUGAUUUCCUCUCAAGAUCCUUAACUAAUUCCAUCUGCAAAGAUCCUAUUUCCAAAGAAGGUCACAUUCUAAGGUUAUGGGUGGACAUGAAUUUGGGAGGGACACUAUUCAACCCACCACAGGUGUGAACUGAAUAAAUGCCAACUGGGGGUCCAGAAAAAUCCCCUAGGAGCCCCAAGACUGGAGGGAGAAGGAAGUUUCAUUCAGUCGUUCCGCAAAUAAUCACCGAGCACCUCCUCCAUGCCAGGCCCUCUUCUCUAGGCUAGGAAGACGUCAGGGAACAAAACCAGGAAUCCCCAUGUUGUGGAGCUCACGGGAGCAGAGGAGGAAGCGCUGGGAGAAGUCUGGAAGGGUAGCUGGUAUAGAAGAGUGGGAGGUGGUUCUAGGUCAAGAACAACACUUGGUGGGUUGAAAAAUGUUCAAGUCUGUGUCCUUGGACAUGGGAGCAGAUGAGAGGGCGGUGUUGGUGAGCAUCCCUUAGCCCAGCAAUGGCUUCAGCCCAGACCCUGAGAACAGUGGUAGAGCUAAGGGGUGGCUGAGGGUGUCUUUGGGACCCCUGAGCUCCAUCACUGCCUCCACUUUGACAGGGCAGUUGACCGUGUUUCCCUGCUCAUGUGAAGUGCCACACAAACACAGCUAGGCCUCCAGGCCACUCUUCUGCAGACCCCUGCCCUGAGCCUCUCCAUCUGUAGAAACUCCAGAGCUACAGGUGGGGAACGCUGCCUCAGAGCUUGGUGGGCAGAUUGAGAAGUCUGGACUUGGUCCCCAGGGCUGUCCUCUGAACCUCAGCUCAUGGAACCUCGUAAGGAUCUAACACUAGUGGAAUCUUUCCCCAGGACCAGGCCCCUGCUGGGGCUUUCAGGGCUUUAAGGAUCACUGUCCUGAGAGUCUUAGAGUCCAGCUCAAGGCCUGCCUCCUCCAGGAAGCACUCCCAGACUUCUUCCUUCUUACAGCUGGUGAUUUCACUUGCUCUCACCUCUUCAACCAGACCACUGAUGUACUUCUGUUUUCUAUGAAAAGUGCGUUGUACAUUCCCAGCUCUCCAUCCGCUCCAGUCAGUGCCUCAGACCCUGGCCUCGAUAAAAUAAUGCACUAACUGAAAUCUCCCCACCAAGGAGCCCACCCUAGGACAGAACCAGAUGCUUCCUCAGUCCCCAUCUCCUCCUGCUUUAAGUGCUUGGCAGCCACCAAGAAAUGCAGUGUAGCUUUUCCUUUUUAACAAAGGGACCCUUCCUUCUUUGCUACAAAUAGAGUCAUCUGCCUCUAGGGCGCCGGGGUCCUGGGACUCAUAAACCACAGGUCAAUGCUAACCAAUGUGUUUCUUUCCUCAGGGCUGUAAUCUUUCAAAUGAGCCAUGGCCGGGCUGCGGGUCCCUCGAAGAUAAAUGUGCAUGCCGAUGCCUAUGCCUUCACCAACUUCCUGUCUCAGAAGACAUCUCAUGCACAUGCACACACACAUGCACACACACACACACACACACAUGCACACACACCUCCCGCGGCUGGCUGGCCUCUCAUCUCACUUGCACACUGGGGGCUGCACUACCUUGAGUGUAAUGUGUCCUGGCUCUCCCCUCCCUCUUCGAAGUCUGAAAAUGGCCUCUCUCCAAGCUGACAGAUGCCCAUUCUAUGCCCAGCCUGCCCUGGACUUAGACGCUCUACCUAUAUACCAGAUGCCAACUCACCAAACUGACCUGCCAUACACGGGAGGAGGGGCCUCACCCUGUCUCUGAGGAAUUAUUUAUGGAAAGAAAGUUUGGUUCUCGUCACUCCCUGCUGAAAACCUUGGCAUGGCUUCCUGUGACUUUUAGGAUAAAAACUCACAGCUCACCAGCCCCAGAGGUCCAUGUAACUGAGCUGCACCCCACGGGCCAGCUCUGAUAGCUCCCUAAAGGUGUCAAGCUCUCUCCUUUUCCAGGGCUUUCCCAUCUGGCCAGCUGACUCCUCAGGUCUACUUUAAACACAGCUUCCUCUGAGAAGUCUUUCCUACCUCCUGUGUAAUCCAAAUUUACUCUUUCUUUUUAUGCACUUUACUUUUUUCUUUAUGCAAUAAAGCAUAGUGGUUAGCAGUCGAGAAUUUGGAGUCAGACUUCCCGGUUCAAAUCCCAGGUCUGUUGCUUACUACCUUUGUGACGUGGGCUAGUUAUUUAACUUCUCUGUGCCUCCGUUUCCUCAUCUGUAAAAUGGAGCUAAUUCAUAGAGUUGUUAGGAUAAAAGGAGGUAAUCCACUUAAAGUGUUUUGAACUGUGUGGAGCCUGUAGUAAAUCAUCAGUAUCGGCUGUUACUAUUAUUAGCGUCGUUUGAUAAUCUCCCCUCACUCCCUUUGCUUUGCCUUCAUAGCCCUUCUCGCAGUUGGUGACUGCACAUCGACUUGGUGGUUAUUUGCUGACUGCUGAGAUGCCAGCUCCAUGAGUGAAAGGAGCCUGGAUGCCUGGCAUAGUACCUGGCACCAUAGGCACUCGAUAAUUAACACUCGUUGAUGAGAAAAGAAUCAUCACUGGUUCUGCGUUCAGGUGAGAGGGUGCUGCAAGGAGGGAGGUGGUCAGGAUCGCUGGGUAGUGACAAGCCGAGGCCCCACUGGGACACAGGUAGACAGGGCAGCCCAGGAGUCCACCUGUGGGCAGCCGGUGAAGAGCCAGAAAUGGAAGUCAGGCAGCCCAGCUGCCUCGAGGGCCAGCUCUGACUCUGACCCCUGUGUGGCCUUGGGCAGGCUUCUUAAGCUUUCUGAGCCUGUUACUUCAUCUGUAAAGCUCCAGUGGGAAACCUCGAGGAACCAGGUAAGGCAGUCUCCCCAGUGGAAGGAGCAACGUGAGCCCGUUCCCCUUUUACUGCUGGCCCGCUGCAGGCUCCUGCCUGUCCCCAGCAUCUGCAUUGCCAUCUGUAGAGUAUGUAAAUCCACACAAUUAAUAUUCUCCAUAAUCUUACAGCAACAAUUUUUCUUCACAAAUGUGUUCGGUUUCAGGGAAUGCGGCACGUUCUGGAGGCACAUUUACAUUUCAUUAUCUCUAAAAGCUUAACUACCGUGGCUAAUGCUAGAUUAAUAAGUAGCCCAUCGAACAACUCCUUUAAACAACACCACUUGCACAGUCUCGCUGGUCGUAGAAGAGGAUGCUUUCAUAUAGUGGCUGUGGCUGGGAAGGGGUCAGUCGAGUUAAGUAGGUCUAAUUUCUGUAUCUCCCACGAGACACUCUGUAUAUUGUUCUAGCCGAGCAAUUAAAUCUCAGCCAAAGCUGUCAAUUUCCUGGGCCUUUGUAAACCCGGGACUGGAAAAAGGUUCAAGUUAAGUCCAUGUGGGCCACCUGGGGGCUUCCCAAUCCCCACACCCAACAGGGCCCUGCCAGGGCUCUGAGCACAGCGUCUCAUAGACAGGACUGGGCAAUACUCACUUGCUCCUGGAGGCCUCAGGUACAACCUUGAAGAUAAAGAAAACAACCAGCCGCAUUUAGAGACGUCAAAGCCAGACUCUGGUUGGGCCCUGGGUCCACCUCCCAGAAGACAGCGCAUGAGGCCAAUGAGGCAACCACAGGUACCAGGCUCUCUCUAGGCCAUACCAGUAAUCUAAGCUCCCUGGACGUGCAUGCUUUCUAAAUCCCAAGAGUUGCUCUUUUGGGAGGUAUUUAUUAUUAUCGUAUUUUGCAACACAGAUGAAAGUACAAUUUCCCAGUGAACUAUCAAUGCAGGUGGAGGGUACGUUCCAGAAAUCACCUCCUCUAAACUUUCACCCCACCUGACUCCUUCCUCAGGGCUCCUGACAUUUCAGCUCAUGCAGUUGAUGGGGGUUUGGCUAUUGCAACGUCUCUUCAAUGCAAUGUUCGAUGUUCAUUGAAGGCCCACAAGGGUCUGCUCUCAGAACUUGGUCAUGGAGUGACACACAGGCCUUCUCCCAAGGGCCUGGGCUGCCCCCUGACUCUGCCCUCUGAUUGCCUCUACCCACUCUCUGCACCACCUCCUAGAGAUCCUUGCUCCCCCUGCACAAGCGCUCGGGCCCUGCCCAUGGUCUUCAGCACAGCAGACCCAGGCCCAGCUUUUGAGGAGUGGGCCAGGCCUCGGCUCCAGACCCGGGAGCCAGGGAGGAGCCCUGCUUGAGGAAGGCCCAUCCAUUGCUCCCUCUCCAAGAAACCAGGGUCCAGGGCCCCCGAAGUUCUGCCCCUCUGGCUGUUGUCCACUUCUGACCAUGUAGAUGCCCAGAAGCUAAGCCACCCACUGUCCACCAAUUCUCCUCCAAAGAGGGUCGGGCUCUCCCUGAGCUCUGGAGAACAGCACUGCUGCCCACCCAGGGCACAGGAUGACAAUUGCCCAGUGGCACCUAGAUUCAGUAGGCUCUGGGGGCAUUUUCCAGCUCCCUGGCAAGUAGGGAAAGAAAGGCACACCAGAGCACCUGUGGGAUCUUGCCCAAGCUCCACGGGUGGCGACUCCACCUCUGCAUCAGGAAUUGUCCUGUGUCCCCUGUGGAUAGCCCAGAAAUCCACCUCACAUCCUCUGGAAAGCUGACUCACCUAAUCACUAACAUCCUUCUUCCAGGUGUCCCACCGACAGCCUCCCUUUCCUAGGAAGGGCUGAGAGUCCCAUCACUUCGCAGGGAGUGAGAAUUCUGUCCCGCGAGGUGACUAACCAGCAGAGCUGCUGCUGAAGGUCACAUGGACAGGGAGGGAUGCGGCCAGAGAACACGGGAGGUCAUCCCUCUCCCCACCAUGGUGACCCUGGAAGAGCUCACAAGGGCAGGAGCCAGUCCUGCUGGCUAGACUCCCCCCGCAGCUCCGCAGCCAGAAACAGGGAGGUUAAUAAAACACAGGACGAGGCUCUCCCGAGAGGCUCUUGGCCGCCUCUGAAGUUUACAAAAGCAGCGCUUCUGAAGCCUCAAAGGCUGCCUGCCACGGCUCCCUGUGAAUUAUUACACUGCAGGUUUUCAGGACACUGUCUGCAAUGCCUUGGGAAUUAGAGUAAUUGUAUUUUAUCUGUUUGCCAAGAGUUUUCAGUAAACUCCUUUAAUGUACUUUAAAACUCACAGCCCCAAAUAGCAACACACGCCUUCUAGCUUCUGCACCAGGCACUGAAUAAACACAGGGUGAUAUAUGGGGCUGGGAGGGCGCCCCUCAUAUAUUUACACCCUCUACCAAAAC